rnacentral:rRNA from 1 species
GCAUAUCAAUAAGCGGAGGAAAAGAAACCAACAGGGAUUGCCCUAGUAACGGCGAGUGAAGCGGCAACAGCUCAAAUUUGAAAUCUGGCUUCGGCCCGAGUUGUAAUUUGCAGAGGAAGCUUUAGGCGCGGCACCUUCUGAGUCCCCUGGAACGGGGCGCCAUAGAGGGUGAGAGCCCCGUAUAGUUGGAUGCCUAGCCUGUGUAAAGCUCCUUCGACGAGUCGAGUAGUUUGGGAAUGCUGCUCAAAAUGGGAGGUAAAUUUCUUCUAAAGCUAAAUACCGGCCAGAGACCGAUAGCGCACAAGUAGAGUGAUCGAAAGAUGAAAAGCACUUUGAAAAGAGGGUUAAAUAGCACGUGAAAUUGUUGAAAGGGAAGCGCUUGUGACCAGACUUGCGCCGGGCGGAUCAUCCCGUGUUCUCACCGGUGCACUCCGCCCGGCUCAGGCCAGCAUCGGUUCUCGCGGGGGGAUAAAGGUCCUGGGAACGUAGCUCCUCCGGGAGUGUUAUAGCCCGGGGCGUAAUGCCCUCGCGGGGACCGAGGUUCGCGCAUCUGCAAGGAUG